UUCACGUUCUAUAAUUGAAACUAUUUGUUUUAUUUUUCCCCUCAAACCUUCUAGAUUUCUCAUCUUUGUAGCACAUCCACCCCUGCCACACCCGAGGAGGAACUCAGUACAUACUGUAAUAAUGAAAGGAUGAAUAUACUCAGGAGAGGCCUGGAUGUAUCCUGGACAAGCAGAGUGGACGUGCUAUUUUCAGGAUUGUCACCACACUGUUGCUGAUUCAUCCAUGUCACAUCCAGUGAUUUUCCUGAGAGUUGGUGUAAAAUGAGAUAGAAGACAGGGAAGCAGAGGAAGAUGGGUUCAUCCCUCCACUCAUGAACAGUGGUGAUUCUGGGCCAGCCAUGAGCCACAAGCAGCACCA
rnacentral:lncRNA from 1 species